GCCGGCGUGGCGCAAUUGGUUAGCGCGUCAGACUUUUACAUCUAAAGUGAAUCUGAAUGUUGCGAGUUCGAGUCUCGCCGUUGGCG